rnacentral:rRNA from 1 species
GAUGAACGCUGGCGGCGUGCUUAACACAUGCAAGUCGAACGAAGCGCCUUAUUUGAUUUUCUUCGGAACUGAAGAUUUGGUGACUGAGUGGCGGACGGGUGAGUAACGCGUGGGUAACCUACCCUGUACAGGGGGAUAACAAUCAGAAAUGACUGCUAAUACCGCAUAAGACCACAGCACCGCAUGGUGCAGGGGUAAAAACUCCGGUGGUACAGGAUGGACCCGCGUCUGAUUAGCUGGUUGGUGAGGUAACGGCUCACCAAGGCGACGAUCAGUAGCCGGCUUGAGAGAGUGAACGGCCACAUUGGGACUGAGACACGGCCCAAACUCCUACGGGAGGCAGCAGUGGGGAAUAUUGCACAAUGGGGGGAACCCUGAUGCAGCGACGCCGCGUGAGUGAAGAAGUAUCUCGGUAUGUAAAGCUCUAUCAGCAGGGAAGAAAAUGACGGUACCUGACUAAGAAGCCCCGGCU